CUUGAUUCCAGCAAUUAACUAUUUGAAAUUUCAAAAAAAUUGGGAUAAAUUAUUAAGAUAUUUGAAUUAGAAUUUACUGCUAUCUUUAAUACUUAUUAAAUAUUCAAAUAUGUAUAGCUUAAUUAUUUGUUUAAGUUGAAUAUGGUAGGAAUAAUUAAGUUUUUAUAUAUUUUAGAAAUACAAUGAGAUCUCUGUAUCUAUGGGGAGAGGUUCCAUGCCCACUGGAUACCUUAAAUACCAGAUAGUAACGAGCACUAUAUAUAUAUGUGUUAUAUACCUAUGAUUAAGUUUAAUUUAUAAAUUAGACACAACAAGAUAUCACCAACAAUAACUAAUAAUAAAAUAGAACAAUUAUAAUAAUAAAAGUUAUGUGAAUGUGGUCUCUGAAAUAUUUAUUGUAUUAAAAUAUACCAUCUAUAUGCACUUUUUUUUUCUUCGUUCUUGUGAUGACGGCAAAAUGACUUCGCGAUGCGAUGAAACGAACUUAAAUUAAGAAUGUUUACGCACUUCUGAAUUUUUUAUU
rnacentral:lncRNA from 1 species